AUUCUACUCCCUCCGUUGCGCAAUACUACAUGCCUUCUAUUUGGCAAAAUAUAUAUGUAUCUAGACAUGUCUUAGUAUAUAGGUACAUCCAUUUUUUGACAAAUGGAAGUCAAGUAUUUUGGAACGGAGGGAGUACACA
rfam:Triticum urartu cultivar G1812 contig544385, whole genome shotgun sequence.